rnacentral:ncRNA from 1 species
AUUUUUGGCUUUGGAAAUUUUUUAGCUUUUUCUUUUUAUUACAUGAGAGUUUAUGCGUUCUCAUUUCUUUAAUUUUCCUAAAAGGGAUAGAUGUAGCUUCAGUAAUAAGUAUUAAUCAUUUAAAUAUUUUUAGAUUUAGACAAAGAAAUAUAGGAGAAGCUAAUUUUGUGCCAGCUGCUGCGGUUAGACAUUUUCUUCUAGUUAAAAUUUUUGGGUAAAAUUAAGUUUUGUUAUAUGAGUUGAAAGAUAAAUUUUUGUUUUUCGGUAAAAUGAGAAUUUUAUUUUUUUUCUUUUUUGAGUUAAAUUCUUUAGCUUUAAAAUUUUUUUUGAGACUGGGAUUAGAUACCCCAUUAUUUUAUUUUUGAAAUUUUUAUCCUAGGUAUUAUUCUUUUUAAAAACCUAAAAAGCUUGGCGGUUCUUUAUAUCCUUUCAGGGGAGCUUGUCCUGUAAUCGAUAAUCCUCGUUUUAUCUUACCUCUUUUAUUAUGUUUGUAUACUUCUGUCGUCAGCUUACUUUUUAGAAUUUUAUAGUUGGCUGAAAAGUUUAAUUCUUUUACGUCAAGUCAAAGUGCAGCUUAUAAAGAGGAAGAGAUGAGCUACAUUUUUUAUUUUUUGGAUUAAAAAUGAAAAAUUUUUUUGAAACUGGACUUGAUAGUAAAAAUUUUUAGAAAAUAUUUUUGAAAUUGGUUUGAAGUGUGCACAAAUCGCCCGUCGCUCUUUCUGAUAAGAAAGAUAAGUCGUAACAUAGUAGUGGUAAUGGAAAUUGCUGCUAGUU